rfam:Populus trichocarpa isolate Nisqually-1 chromosome 6, whole genome shotgun sequence.
CUUUUUAGGGACAAACGUCAAUAUUUUAGACGAGUCUCCUAUUUUUUAGGGACUGAUGUCAGUUUUUGACGUGUCUUCUAUGAAUAUUGUUUGUCGACA